GUCUGUGGCCAUGCCACCCUGAAUGCACCCAAUCUUGUCUGGUCUCAGAAGCUAAGCAGGGAUGGGCCUGGUUAGUACUUGGAUGGGAGAAAGAUCUUCAGAGGAGACUGCUCAGAAACAAGCAGUUUGGAGACA
ensembl:rRNA 5S_rRNA 5S ribosomal RNA